rnacentral:pre_miRNA from 1 species
GAAGUACUCCCUCCGUUCCAAAAUAGAUGACCCAACUUUGUACUAACAAAGUUAGUACAAAGUUGGGUCAUCUAUUUUGGAACGGAGGGAGUAUGUU